AAAAAUGGUAGGAGAACAACAGGGAUUGCCUUAGUAACGGCGAGUGAAGCGGCAAUAGCUCAAAUUUGAAAUCUGGCUCUUUUAGAGUCCGAGUUGUAAUUUGUAGAGGAUGUUUCGGCUUACGCCUCGGUCUAAGUUCCUUGGAACAGGACGUCACAGAGGGUGAGAAUCCCGUUUGUGGCCGAUGGCUUCUGCCAUGUGAAACUCCUUCGACGAGUCGAGUUGUUUGGGAAUGCAGCUCUAAAUGGGAGGUAAAUUUCUUCUAAAGCUAAAUAUUGGCCAGAGACCGAUAGCGCACAAGUAGAGUGAUCGAAAGAUGAAAAGCACUUUGGAAAGAGAGUUAAAAAGUACGUGAAAUUGUUGAAAGGGAAGCGCUUGCGACUAGACUUGCCUACAGUUGCUCCAUCGGUCCUUCGACCGGUGUAUUCUUCUGUGGUCAGGCCAGCAUCAGUUCGGGUGGUUGGAUAAAGGCCUUAGGAAUGUGACUCUCUUCGGGGAGUGUUAUAGCCUUCGGUGCAAUACAGCCUGCCUGGACUGAGGACCGCGCUUCGGCUAGGAUGCUGGCGUAAUGGUCGUAAGCGGCCCGUCUUGAAACACGGACCAAGGAGUCUAACAUCUAUGCGAGUGUUUGGGUGUCAAACCCGUGCGCGAAAUGAAAGUGAACGGAGGUGGGAACCUUAGGGUGCACCAUCGACCGAUCCUGAUGUCUUCGGAUGGAUUUGAGUAAGAGCAUAGCUGUUGGGACCCGAAAGAUGGUGAACUAUGCCUGAAUAGGGUGAAGCCAGAGGAAACUCUGGUGGAGGCUCGCAGCGGUUCUGACGUGCAAAUCGAUCGUCAAAUUUGGGUAUAGGGGCGAAAGACUAAUCGAACCAUUAACCAGGAAACAAAUAAUUUUUCUUAAUUAUUUGCUACUAGGUGGUUAAGAGGCGGCU
rnacentral:rRNA from 1 species